AGCGAACGCUGGCGGCAGGCUUAACACAUGCAAGUCGAGCGGGCGUAGCAAUACGUCAGCGGCAGACGGGUGAGUAACGCGUGGGAACGUGCCUUUUGGUUCGGAACAACCCAGGGAAACUUGUGCUAAUACCGAAUGUGCCCUUCGGGGAAGGAUUUAUCGCCAUUGGAGCGGCCCGCGUUGGAUUAGGUAGUUGGUGAGGUAAAGGCUCACCAAGCCUACGAUCCAUAGCUGGUCNGAGAGGAUGAUCAGCCACACUGGGACUGAGACACGGCCCAGACUCCUACGGGAGGCAGCAGUAGGGAAUCUUGCGCAAUGGGCGAAAGCCUGACGCAGCCAUGCCGCGUGAAUGAUGAAGGUCUUAGGAUUGUAAAAUUCUUUCACCGGGGGAAGAUAAUGACGGUACCCGGAGAAGAAGCCCCGGCUAACUUCGUGCCAGCAGCCGCCGUAAC
rnacentral:rRNA from 1 species